UAGGCUUGACAUGCACGGAAAUCCCGCAGAGAUGUGGGGUCCGUAAGGGCCGUGCACAGGUGGUGCAUGGUUGUCGUCAGCUCGUGUCGUGAGAUGUUGGGUUAAGUCCCGCAACGAGCGCAACCCUCGUCCUAUGUUGCCAGCACGUGAUGGUGGGGACUCAUAGGAGACUGCCGGGGUCAACUCGGAGGAAGGUGGGGAUGACGUAGGAGAGUACGUCC
rnacentral:misc_RNA from 1 species